GAGGAAUAUUGGUCAAUGGACGGAAGUCUGAACCAGCCAUGCCGCGUGAAGGAUGAAGGCGUUCUGCGUUGUAAACUUCUUUUAUCUGGGAAGAAACCACAGAUUUCUAUUUGUGUUGACGGUACCAGAGGAAUAAGCACCGGCUAACUCCGUGCCAGCAGCCGCGGUAAUACGGAGGGUGCGAGCGUUAUCCGGAUUUACUGGGUUUAAAGGGUGCGUAGGCGGGCUAUUAAGUCAGAGGUGAAAUCUCCGGGCUCAACCUGGAAACUGCCUUUGAUACUGGCGAUCUCGAGUUCGAGAGAGGUUGGUGGAACUCCGAGUGUAGAGGUGAAAUUCGUAGAUAUUCGGAAGAACACCAGUGGCGAAGGCGGCCAACUGGCUCGAUACUGACGCUGAGGUGCGAAAGCGUGGGGAGCAAACA
rnacentral:rRNA from 1 species